rnacentral:sRNA from 1 species
CUCAGCAGGGAGCAGCCAGACACUGGCGACAGGACGAGGCAGAGAAUCCCAGAGACGGAGAGGGAGAAGAAGCACCUGACAGAGGCACGUCUCAGCCAACACAUUCUGGUCUUGAGCUGCCUUGCUUCCCACCGUGAUACUAAUGGACUGGACCUCUGAACCUGUAAGCCAGCUCCAAUUAAAUGUUGUCCUUGUUAAGUGUUGCCUUGGUCAUGGUGUCUCUUCACAGCAAUGGAGAACCUAAAACAUAAGUUAGCACCAUGGACUGGAGUAUGGCUGUUAUAGGUAACCAUGCUUUUGCUUGAAAGAAUGUGGAUUUUGUGACUUUGGAAAGCAGUGGGAUGCUUUAAGAGAGCCUUAAUGGGCUAUCCUAGUAGGAAUGUAGAAGACUUUCCUGCUGCGGAAAUUUGAACUCUGAGACCCUGGCUCUAGAGGUUUCAGAGAAGAGGGAUUUUAACAGGUUGCUUGAAGAUGGCUGUGAUAUUUCAGUGAAGAACGUGGCUGCUUUUUGACCUUAUCUAAAGAGUCUAUCUCAGGCUAAGAUAAAGAGAUUUCAAUUAAUUGCAUUCAUAGAGGAAGUCUCAGAAAAGCCCAGCAUAGACUUUGUCCUCUGGUUUACUCUCAUGAAAAGGUGUUUUGAUCAAGUAUAGCAAGGUUAGAAAGAAAAAAGUACAAAAUGUAUGGUUCAAAUAAUAAAGGGACACCAAGAAGUACAAUGGA